rnacentral:rRNA from 1 species
AUUGAACGCUGGCGUCAUGCUUUACACAUGCAAGUCGAACGGUAACAGGUUAAGCUGACGAGUGGCGAACGGGUGAGUAAUGCAUCGGAACGUGCCCGAUCGUGGGGGAUAACGCAGCGAAAGCUGCGCUAAUACCGCAUACGAUCUGAGGAUGAAAGCGGGGGACCGUAAGGCCUCGCGCGAUCGGAGCGGCCGAUGUCAGAUUAGGUAGUUGGUGGGGUAAAGGCUCACCAAGCCGACGAUCUGUAGCUGGUCUGAGAGGACGACCAGCCACACUGGGACUGAGACACGGCCCAGACUCCUACGGGAGGCAGCAGUGGGGAAUUUUGGACAAUGGGCGAAAGCCUGAUCCAGCAAUGCCGCGUGCAGGAAGAAGGCCUUCGGGCUGUAAACUGCUUUUGUACGGAGCGAAAAGGCUCUCUCUAAUACAGGGGGCUCAUGACGGUACCGUAAGAAUAAGCACCGGCUAACUACGUGCCAGCAGCCGCCGCCGUAA